rfam:Cryptosporidium ubiquitum isolate 39726 contig_23, whole genome shotgun sequence.
GGCCCUGUAGUGUAAUGGUUAUCACCCAGGAUUCUGAUUCCUGUGAUCUGGGUUCGAUUCCCAGCAGGGCCU